UGGCGGUUGAGCUCGGAGAUCUCCUGCUUGGUGUUGCGGAGGUCGUCCCCGUGCCUGCCUGCGGUAGCCUGCAGCUCCUCGUACUGUCGUGGAGAGAGGAACAACCGGUCAAGGUAAAAUCCAUCGUUUUUUCAGUAACACAGUGUGUGGCAAGGUGGGUGCUUGAAAGCAUUGGGUGCCUCCCCAAGCCCACACUAGCAGCUGAGUUGCUGCUGUGCAAUGUGCAGUACUGGAUAAAGUUUUCUUGGAAGAGUCAGUCCUUUUCUGUUCAAGACAAGACAUGAAGAUAACAGCACGGAAAACCCCAAUUCCUUCACCUUGGUUUGGUACCAGGACUCGGCUUCAGCCCGGCUCCUGUUGGCGAUGUCCUCGUACUGAGCUUUGACCUCCGAGAUGAUGCUGUCUAGGUCCAGGUUUCGGUUGUUGUCCAUGGUGAGAACGACGGACGUGUCGGAGAUCUGGGUCUGCAUCUGAGACAGCUCCUGCAAAGUGCGCAGUGACUAGGGUGGAGGUGAUGCGGUCGUCACUCAUCUGGAAGGAAUUUGAGAGGCUGAGCAGAGGGGGCAGGCAGCAGUGCGAGUCUCCAACCCAGAGGCGGGAGAUCCCUUUAUGCCAUGCUGUAAACCUGGGAGUGAAGUCUUGGCCGAGUUUGGUUCUGGCAUCAUGCUGACAGCAAGGUAAUAACACUCCUUUGAGGGUAGAAAAGUGCAUUCUGGCUACAUCAGGGCAAUAAAUGCAACUCAGGCCCCUCUAGUGAGAAAUUUGAACUGUUUUCCAUGUACCCAGCCAGCAAGAAGCAGGUAUCUCCAGCAGUUUUUCAUCAGCUCCUGUCCAUCUCUGCCUCUCUCCAGUAUCUGCCCUGGAAGCCUUGGUCUGGUGAUGGAUGCCCUUUCUCAGACGAGGCUGAAAUAAAUCCUUCGGAAUGCCUCCGUGUCUUCUUUGCAAAAACACACGCAUUUAUAAAAUCAGUGUGUCUUACUAACUUGUGUUGGUUCACCUGUGCUACCUAAUCUCAGUUUAAUUAUCAGUAAAGUCAAGGCUGUAAUUUACGUUAAUUGCUUAAAUUAAAGCCUUUGGGUUAAACUUGGGCUGCUAACCUAAAUUCAAACCCUACUCAUUUUGACCAUAAUUUACUAUAUCAUCCUGACUUAAUGAAGUCCCACUGGUUGCCCUGAGCUUUUUCCACAGUGGACCACACGACUUGCAGGGUCCCUGCGCUGUGGGGACAGGAACCUCUGAGAGCUCCUGAGCAGGAGGCAAGUGUCCGUGAAUCUCAUUUCCCCAAGGGAUGAAUUAGGAUGAACUCCUCAGAAGCUUUCCCAUAGGUGUUGCCCCGUGAUGGGCGUUGCAGUCCUUUGAGCCUGUUCCCAGCAGUAUCUGGAGGCCAGUCAGCUGUAACUACAUGACUUUGAAGUGUAGGUGUGACCUGCUUUCCCCAGAUAAUUGUUUUCUGUGCUAGCGCAGAGACUCCGAUGCAGCCCAGGGUUUUGGAAUAACUUCGCCUUCAUUAUUGUUGUUGUUGCCAGGUGCUUUAUGCAGACCAGGGAAGUCUUGUUUCACCCCAUGCUUUGUUGCACUUAAAAGAGCCUCUGACCUUAGGUUGGUAUUAGCUGAUACCUCCUUUCUCCUGCUCUGCGUGCAACGCUGGUGCUUACAUGGUGGUACCUGAAGAAUCCUAAACAUCCCAAGUUGUGUUGUAACGCUUGCUGAGUAAUUUUAAUCCCUGAGUAGGGCUGCUGGGGCUCUGAUCUCCACCAAGCUCCAUGUGUUGGAGGUUAUCACAGCAGUAUUGUAACAUCUCCUCUUUUCUUGUCGCCCUAGGGUGUAAAUUUUCUCCUGAUAAAGAAGCCCAUGCACUGAAGUACUGCUGCUGGAAAGCCCCGUUAUUUCGGAUCAGCUCUGUGCAGGCACGUGGCACGCCCCCUAGCUCUGUCCUGCGCCCCCCAGCUCUGUCCUGCACUGAGACUGCUCCUGGUCAAGGUUCCUUGCAGAAAGCCAUAGCGCUCGUGUGAAGUUUAAUUUCUCCCAAUUAAAACAAACAGCACCAUUCUCAGACCUGGUAAGAUAAACAAGCAUUAUUCACAUGUCCUGGAAAGCGCACCCAGUCCCAGUGCGCCGAGUUGCUGGGGCCUUAUGUUUAUUCACGGUGCAGUGCUGCAUUGUGAGCGUGUGAGCCCCGAGGUCCCUGGUGCUGUCCUGCGGCACGUGGCAUCGCCUGCAGCCCGGCUCGCCUGCCGGACUCCAACCUCCGGCCGGGAUGUCGCUGCCCUGGUUAAACAAUGACGCUCAGGCUGAACGUGCCUCUCAGACGGGAGCUGGGGAUAUUGCUCCGCUGCUGGUUUUGCUGCAUCCUUCGUUACCUUCCCUGCAGCCAUUUCACGUUGUACUUUGUUUCUAAGCCAUGUAAACCAUUUGCAAAUUAAAAAAAAAAUAAUUUUUUUGGAUGGAAAAUCUCCUUUUGAGUCAAAAAGCUGCAGUGUUUCAUUUGGGAAAUGUUAAGGGGAGAUAUUUCAGCAUUCCACAAACAGAAUCGUUCCCAUAAGAAAUAUUAAAAUUAGAUGUUAGUUUAUUUUUUUCCCCCAAUAUUUAAGUUGCCAGCUCAAAUUACUUGUCAAGUUUAACUUGAAUUUGUGUGUUCUCCAGGUCUCUGCAAACUAGAAGAUAGCAACUAGAUGACUAGAAAGCAUCUGCUUUCUUGGAGAAGUGCUGGGGGGGGGGGGGGGGGGGGCUACAAAACCCGCCCCAUGGAGACAAAAGAGUGACUGAUAGUUGCUUGCUGCAUUUUUUUUUUUUUUUUUUUUUUCCCUUGGUAGCAUCUUCAAUGCUCGGAUUGCAGGAGAAGGAGCCAACAACAGCCUGCGGCAGCAGACUGAUGGAGGCUGCAGAGAUGCCCAGGUACCGUGGGGACGGGGAAGGGCUUGGCAGAGUGGCUCACGACCAAGAUUCAGGUGUGGUGUUGGUUGUGGCCUACAUGUCGAUGCAGCUGAUGGCACAGCAAAGUGUUAUGUAUGCUUCUGUAAAACACAAAAGAGAUUUUUGAAAUUUUCAAUUAUUUAUCUAUAUAUAUGUGGUUUGAUAAUAAAAGCCCAGUUGGGAUGCCCUGCCUGUUACAAAGAAGACUGCUUUGCUAGCUUCACUCUAUUUCCUUAAGUCUAAGAAAUGUGGUCAGAUGCUUGCAGACUGAUGCAGACAGUUAAACGGAUGAAGCCCAACCACCCACCUUUCUACAAAGCCUCCCCGGGUGCAAACGGGCUGCCCCAGCUUUCCAAAGGUGCUGUUUCCCCUUCCUGUGUCCUGGAGGGGAUGCCCAUGGGUGCGAGCCCCAAGCCCCAUAGUGUAGGACCUGUCACAGCUUCCAGCCCUUGCAGGGCAGCUCCCUGCCUUUCUCUUGCUCUGGGUCCCCACCUGCUGGAGACACCAGGCUGGCUUGUCUGGUGCUCACACACCUCUGCGUGGCACAGUGGGUGCCUGGGGUCCGGGGGGCUCAGGAGCUCGGAAGUGUUUCCCUGCGGUGAGCGCUCAGGCACACUGUGCACGAGAUGUUUUUGCCUUGCAGCCAUGAGUGCUGCCCCUUCUCCUCUCCCUCCCUGGGGACCUCCCUGGGGGUUCCCCCAGUUGGAUUUUACAGGGGAUGAGGGGUGGGUUGAUGGACGCCAGGGAGCAAGGUGGGAUGCUCGUCCUUUGGGCACGACAUCCCCAAAGGGCUGCAGACCCCUCCUUUGCUCCCCUCGCUUCAUGCUCCAGCUUCUCGGUCCUUUCGGGCUAGGUUCCCAGCUCACCCCGUGCUUCCCCAGCUGCCCGGAUUGGUGCCUGGCCUUGCAGCCUCGCAGGCAGCAAGAGCCAGGAGAUGCCCUCGGAGCCACAGGGGGGAGCCCAGGAACAGCGCGGGAGCCUGGCUGAAACCCUCGUCCCAGCAGGUCUCAGAAACCCCCUGGGGGGUGGCUGGGAAUUGGGCAGCUGGGUGCUACAGGCAGCUUGGAAGACCUCAGGUUCAGUCAAAAACGAAUCUGAGGCCCCGAAACAGCUCUUGCAAAGGAACAUUUAGCAAGAUGCUCAUGGGUGCAAGGGAAACCUUGAUGCCCAAAGACUGCACGUGGUGGGAUAUUGGGCGCUUCGCCCUGUGUCUACCCCUCUUUGCUAGUGCUGCCCUCCCUCCCUUCGCAGUUAUGGUGAUGUCUGACUGCUCCAUUCCCCUCCUGGGGGCUCAAAUGCAGAACUUCCCACCCCUCACCACCGUUUGAUGCUGUUCUCACCAUGUCCUUGCUGCAGUUCUGGAGGUUUGCUCCUGUUUGCGGUGUGAACCUGUGGCCAGGCUGACCAUCCAUCCCACCCUCCUCUCCAUCCUUCCCAGAGCCAUGUGGGAGUCUGGGUCCUAAACCUGAGCUCAAUCUCCUCAAGGUCCUUUCUCAUGAAGUGCCUGCAGAGAGUCCUUUCUGCAGCUGGGGCACAGCACGCAUCAAUACCCAAUUCCCAGCAGAGAAUAGAAUGAAGCAGCAAAUUUUAAAAAUGACAGAUGCUCUUUAUUGGACAAUACAGUAUGGUAGGAAACGAAGAGGCUAUAGCCAUGGGCACAAGGAGUUAGAAAUCAGUGUGGCAAUUCAUAUACACAGAAAGCAGUAACCUUUCCCACAGGUGCCUGAGAAAACAGAAGGGGCUGGAAAAAUCUUUAGUUGCAGAUGAAACAUUUGGAGGUUGUAACACGUGUUGUGGGCAGAGGCUUUUAGAGCAUCUUGGAGCUCUUUUCCUUGCUGAAGAUCCAGGACAGUGGUUUCACAAGGCUGUCCCGUCGUUUUAGGGUGAAUGAAACAAAUGCGUGUGACCAAGCGUGGCUUUCCCCAUUCAGCAAAGUGCUUCCACUUUGCUUUAAAUUUGUGACUUCGUGGGGAGAACAAGAGAGUAGUGAGGACUGUGCUGGAAGAGGGCCAACGCUGGGGACCGUGACGGCUCUCCAAAGCC